AUCUGGACUGCUCACCUGAGCCCCGCAGGCUGGACGGCACGGGGAGGGUCCCCCUUGAGAGGAGCAGAAGAGGGAGGGGCUCUGGUCACGGGGACAGUGUAAGCAAAGGCACAAGGCAGGACCCCAGGUCACAGGAGAAACUACCAAGUAGGGGAUGGUCCUGUGAACCCCAGGGCUCGCUGGGUGGCUUUGGGCGCUGGAGCUUUCUUGGGGGCAGUGCUUGGCAUCAGGAUCCGUUCCAAGGGGUCCCAGCACCUUGAUGGACCUUGAGAGGCCUUCAGUCUCGGCCAUGUCCGAAGCAGGGGGCGUAGUCUGGGCCCCAGGCUGAGAAAGAGCCUCCCAGGAGCAGCCCCACAGACGCAGCAUAGGGUGAGGACACGACAGGCCCAUCCAUACCCACCCUGCCGCUCUGGCCACAGGUGGCCCCCACGAACACUGACGGGCCUGCUCUAGGCCACAGCAGCUGCACCCGCUGUGGCUGCGGAUCCGCUCGAUGCCUAGAACCAGCAGGGGCACGAAUGCUUCCUGGAGGUAGGUGACCAGCCAGGCCUUUCGGGACCUGGACUCCUGGCGGCAGCACAGAAACCCUGGGGGCCAGCGGCUGGGGGCCUGUGGGCUGAGGCCUAGCCGUGUGCACGGGUGCCCACAUGUACACACAGCCCCUCCACUCCUCGGGCAAACCAUGUGCUGACAGUGUACUCCUACCCCCACGGUGCUGUGCGGCCCAGAGACAGCAGAAGGACAAAGAGAGAUGCCUGUCUCUUCAAAAGGCCAUGAUAUUUCAAGUCAUGAAACACCACAUUUGUGAGCACAAUAAAGAGAAAAGGUUUAAAUUAA